rnacentral:rRNA from 1 species
UACAGAGGUCUCAAGCGUUGUUCGGAUUCAUUGGGCGUAAAGGGUGCGUAGGCGGCGCGGUAAGUCGGGUGUGAAAUCUUGGAGCUUAACUCCGAAAUUGCAUUCGAUACUGCCGUGCUUGAGGACUGGAGAGGAGACUGGAAUUUACGGUGUAGCGGUGAAAUGCGUAGAUAUCGUAAGGAAGACCAGUGGCGAAGGCGGGUCUCUGGACAGUUCCUGACGCUGAGGCACGAAGGCCAGGGGAGCAAACGGG